rnacentral:hammerhead_ribozyme from 1 species
AGCCGAAACACCCCCUAGUAAUAGGGUGGUGUCAUCCUACCGUGGUGGAUAGGGUCUGACGAAGGCAGCCAAAC